ACCUGGGUGGCUCAGUCAGUUGAGUGCCUGACUUCAGCUCAGGUCAUGAUCUUACAGUUCAUAGGUUCAAGUCCUGUGUCUGGCU
rnacentral:tRNA from 1 species